UUGACCUCAAAUCAGGUAGGACUACCCGCUGAACUUAAGCAUAUCAAUAAGCGGAGGAAAAGAAACUAACAAGGAUUCCCCUAGUAACUGCGAGUGAAGCGGGAAAAGCUCAAAUUUAAAAUCUGGCUAGCUUCGCUGCCCGAGUUGUAAUCUAGAGAAGCAUUAUCAGCGCUCGCGGCGUGUAUAAGUGUCCUGGAAUGGACCAUCAUAGAGGGUGACAAUCCCGUCUUUGACACGGCUGCCUUUAGUGCUAUUGAUGUGCUCUCAACGAGUCGAGUUGUUUGGGAAUGCAGCUCUAAAUGGGUGGUAAGUUCCAUCUAAAGCUAAAUAUUGGCGAGAGACCGAUAGCGAACAAGUACCGUGAGGGAAAGAUGAAAAGAACUUUGGAAAGAGAGUUAAACAGUACGUGAAAUUGCUGAAAGGGAAACGCUUGAAGUCGGUCGCGUUGGUUGGGUAAUCGAGAAAUCAACCUUGCUUUCUAAAAGCUUGGCUUAUUUCCCAGCUGACGGGCCAGCAUCAGUUUUGACCGGUGGAUAAAGGCCAAGGGAAUGUGGCACCUCUUGGGUGUGUUAUAGCCCUCGGUCAUAUACAUCGGUUGGGACUGAGGAACUCAGCACUUGUUGCUUAGGAUGCUGGCAUAAAGGCUUUAAGCGACCCGUCUUGAAACACGGACCAAGGAGUCUAACAUGCCCGCGAGUGUUUGGGUGGAAAACCCGAGCGCGCAAUGAAAGUGAAAGUUGAGAUCCCUGUCAUGGGGAGCAUCAAUGCCUGGACCAGAGCUUUUGUGAUGGAUCCACGGUAGAGCGUGUAUGUUGGGACCCGAAAGAUGGUGAACUAUGCCUGAAUAGGGUGAAGCCAGAGGAAACUCUGGUGGAGGCUUGUAGCGAUUCUGACGUGCAAAUCGAUCGUCAAAUUUGGGUAUAGGGGCGAAAGACUAAUCGAACCAUCUAGUAGCUGGUUCCUGCCGAAGUUUCCCUCAGGAUAGCAGAAACUCAUUAUCAGAUUUAUGUGGUAAAGCGAAUGAUUAGAGGCCUUGGGGUUGUAACAACCUUAACCUAUUCUCAAACUUUAAAUAUGUAAGAACGAGCAGUCUCUUGGUUGGACCGCUUGGCGAUUGAGAGUUUCUAGUGGGCCAUUUUUGGUAAGCAGAACUGGCGAUGCGGGAUGAACCGAACGCGAGGUUAAGGUGCCGGAAUUCACGCUCAUCAGACACCACAAAAGGUGUUAGUUCAUCUAGACAGCAGGACGGUGGCCAUGGAAGUCGGAAUCCGCUAAGGAGUGUGUAACAACCUCACCUGCCCGAAUGAACUAGCCCUGAAAAUGGAUGGCGCUUAAAGCGUGAUACCCAUACCUUGCCCGUCAGUGGUUUUAGUGACCGCUCUGACCAAGUAGGCCAGGCC
rnacentral:rRNA from 1 species